UACGGGGGGUGCAAGUGUUGUUCGGAUUGAUUGGGCGUAAAGCGCACGUAGGCGGUCUUUUAAGUCGGUGGUGAAAUCCUGGAGCUCAACUCCAGAACUGCCUUCGAUACUGGAAGACUUGAGUCCGGGAGAGGUGAGUGGAACUGCGAGUGUAGAGGUGAAAUUCGUAGAUAUUCGCAAGAACACCAGUGGCGAAGGCGGCUCACUGGCCCGGUACUGACGCUGAGGUGCGAAAGCGUGGGGAGCAAACAGG
rnacentral:rRNA from 1 species